ACUCCUACGGGAGGCAGCAGUAGGGAAUCUUCCACAAUGGGCGCAAGCCUGAUGGAGCAACACCGCGUGAGUGAAGAAGGGUUUCGGCUCGUAAAGCUCUGUUGUUAAAAAAGAACACGUAUGAGAGUAACUGUUCAUACGUUGACGGUAUUUAACCAGAAAGUCACGGCUAACUACGUGCCAGCAGCCGCGGUAAUACGUAGGUGGCAAGCGUUAUCCGGAUUUAUUGGGGCGUAAAGAGAGUGCAGGCGGUUUUCUAAGUCUGAUGUGAAAGCCUUCGGCUUAACCGGAGAAGUGCAUCGGAAACUGGAUAACUUGAGUGCAGAAGAGGGCAGUGGAACUCCAUGUGUAGCGGUGGAAUGCGUAGAUAUAUGGAAGAACACCAGUGGCGAAGGCGGCUACCUGGUCUGCAACUGACGCUGAGACUCGAAAGCAUGGGUAGCGAACAGGAUUAGAUACCCUGGUAGGAUAGCG
rnacentral:rRNA from 1 species